UCCAUGCAUUUUCCAUUCCCCAUUAGGCACUCCAUAAACCAACUAACCUGCCUCCCUCUUGCUAACUUCCUUCUGGUUUAGUCCUUGAAACAACUCAUGGAGCAAGUGGUAUUUAUAUUCUCAUUUUACAAAUGAGGAAUGGGGAGCCUAGGGAGAGGAAAUAAUAAGGAUCACCCAGCAAGUGAAUGUCCUAGCCAGAAUUCAAAUGCAGAUCUGUCUUUCUCCACUACUUAGGAAAGAAAGAGCAAGGUUGGGGGUGGGGGUCAUCUGAAUGGCCCGGGCUUUUACAGUUUCUCCUUUAGCUGCUCCACUGGAGGGCUGUUGAGAAAAUUAUCCAAAUCAUGUUAAUGAGCAAUUGAGUGCCGAGUUUCUCUGAGGGAAGAUAACGAACAAAAGCUCUGGUUAGGGCUGGCAGCCAGGAGCUGCGAUAGUUAUCUCAGCUGAUACCACCAAGGAGCUCUCAACUCAAAUAAUUAACUCAAUUGCCUUCUCUCAGGGGUGAAGUGGGGCUAAUAAAACGUAACCACCUAGCCUGUGGGAAAAUGACUGUGCGCCCGUAGAUGAAGUGCUUUCAAGACCAUCUGGUGCCUAGUGGUAUCAUCGCAGAAGCCAUGGCUGGAGUGCAGUGGCCGGAUCUCAAGUCUUCUAUCUGGAGCUGGUAGUGGCCGCCUUAGGGGACAAAACAGGGAAACUGUAAUCACAGCUAAGCAUGGAAAGCAUAUAUAGAAGUGCUGAAGAACAUAGGCUACAGAUUGCCUGGGUGUGAAACCCAACCCUACCACUUCCAUGACCCAGAUAACCCUGGGAAAGUUGCUUAUUCUCAUUGUCUCAGCCUCCUCAACUAUAAUGGUAAUAAUAAUGCCUUCUUUUUAGGGUGCUGGAGGGUGUAUUGAGGUAUUCAUAAACACAGAUGCUAAUGGAAAAAUACAAACUAAAAUGAAUAUGUAGAACAGUAGUCCCCCUUUAUCCUUGGGAAAUACAUUCUAAGAUCCCCAGUGGCUGCCUGAAACCAUAGAUACUCCUUAACUUUCUAUGUAUUAGAGUUUUUCCUACACACAUAUAUCAGUGAUAAAGUUUAAUUUAUAAAUUAGGUACAGUAAGAAAUUAACAGUAAUAGCUAGUAAUAAAUUAUAACAAUAUUCCAGCAUCACCACUCUCGCACUUUGAUGCCAUUAUUAAGAAAAAUAAGGGUUACUUGAACACAAGCACUGUGAUAUAAUGCAA
rnacentral:lncRNA from 1 species